UACGUAGGGGGCUAGCGUUGUCCGGAAUCAUUGGGCGUAAAGAGCGUGUAGGCGGCCCGGUAAGUCCGCUGUAAAAGUCAAAGGCUCAACCUUUGAAUGUCAGUGGAUACUGUCGGGCUAGAGUCCGGAAGAGGCGAGUGGAACUCCUGGUGUAGCGGUGGAAUGCGCAGAUAUCAGGAAGAACACCAACGGCGAAGGCAGCUCGCUAGGACGGUACUGACGCUGAGACGCGAAAGCGUGGGGAGCAAACAGG
rnacentral:rRNA from 1 species